AACAGCCAAGGAGGAAUAUUUAAUGAAAUUAUUUUAUUCCUCCUAAAAUUAUAUUAAAUGUGGGGAUAAAAAACAUACCGCUAAAAUUAUAUAUUUGUGGGGGGGGGGUUUUAACCCCCGCUAUUCAUAAAAAAAAAAUAGCGCCUAAAUUGUUUCCCUCUUUUUUUCAAUUGCCCUCCCCUCCGCCCUCUCCGAAAAAAAAAAAUAGCACCUAAACACAUCAAAAUAUUUUCCCCGAAGUCUCUCUCGGUGUAUGUGUGUCACUGCUGCCCAUCAAAAUAUCUCUCAAUGUAUUUUUUCCCAAAACACAUCAAUUGAUUUUUUCCCAAAACCAAUUGACUCCGGCCGGUGAUUGCUACAUCUCCGUCGAUCAUUGCUACUCCGGCUUCUCCGAUCAGCCAUUGCUACUCCCGCCAGGUUCAUGUGUACUGUUAAUUCCUCCUAAAAACUUGAAGGAGUUCUCCAAAUUGAGCCAAGUAAUGCGGUUAGUGGACCCAUUUCACCCAUGGAUGCAAGAAGACCACGUGAUGAUAGUGAUCCUCAUGACAGUCGUUGAUUUCGUUGAAAAUUAUCUUGAAUAUUCAAUUAUGAUGAUGUAAUUAUGUGGUUGGAGUGAAUCUUAGAAUAUUAAAGAUUUUGUGUUUAAAUUUUAUUUUGGAGUUUGAAGAUAUAGUUAAUGUUAAAAUUUGGAGUUUGAAAUUGUUAAUGUUGAAUAUUUAAUUUUUAAGUUUAAUGCUCAAUGUAUUUUCGACAUGCUUGUCAA